GCCCAUAUCCAAAAUCAGGGGAAUAAUGCUAGGGAUGGGAUGGAGGGGAGAAGGUGCUACAGGGCGAUAGGUAUGACAGAUUGGCACUUUCUCUGCUUACCAGACAAGCCUGAACCCUUUCAUUAGUGCAGCAAAGCUAGUCCGAUGGGCACCGCUCUGCCAGCCCACUCAUUACUGAGUCCGUUCCAGGGCAUAUUGAAUAAAUGAGGACGAGGUGAUUGGGCAGGCUUGGCGGAGGCAAUAACAGGGACAAGGGGAGCUUCAUGUAAAAAUUGCUGCUGCUAUCUCCCCUUGUCCUUUGGCACUUCCUCUCCCUGUCUCGCUCUCUGUCUCCCACCAGCUCUGCUGAAUUCAGCUUCUCUGCUGACAGCCUGAGCUGAGCAUGUGCAGAAUGGAGGGGGCAGAGGAAAGUAAAACAGAAUUGGCAUUCUUGCCAG